rnacentral:rRNA from 1 species
AGGUCUUGCCUGCCCAGUGACAAUGUUAAACGGCCGCGGUAUUUUGACCGUGCGAAGGUAGCGCAAUCACUUGUCUUUUAAAUGAAGACCUGUAUGAAUGGUGAAACGAGGGCUUAACUGUCUCCCUUUUCUAGUCAAUGAAAUUGAUCUGCCCGUGCAGAAGCGGACAUAAAAAUACAAGACGAGAAGACCCUUUGGAGCUUAAGAUAUAAAGAUCAUCUAUGUCAAUGGGCCCCAACACGGCAACAAACUAAAUAGCAACUGAUCUUAAUCUUCGGUUGGGGCGACCACGGGAGAAAAUAAAGCUCCCACGCGGAAUGGGGUAAACCCUAAAACCAAGAAAAACAUUUCUAAGCAACAGAACUUCUGACCAUUAAGAUCCGGCUACACGCCGACCAACGGACCAAGUUACCCUAGGGAUAACAGCGCAAUCCCCUUUCAGAGUCCAUAUCGACAAGGGGGUUUACGACCUCGAUGUUGGAUCAGGACAUCCUAAUGGUGCAGCCGCUAUUAAGGGUUCGUUUGUUCAACGAUUAAAGUCCUACGUGAUCUGAGUUCAGACCGG